rnacentral:rRNA from 1 species
GAUGAACGCUAGCGGGAGGCCUAACACAUGCAAGCCGAGCGGGAUUUGUUGGUUAGCUUGCUAACUAACAAUGAGAGCGGCGUACGGGUGCGUAGCACGUGUGCAACCUGCCUUUAUCUGGGGGAUAGCCUUUCGAAAGGAAGAUUAAUACCCCAUAACAUAUUGAUUGGCAUCAGUUAAUAUUGAAAGCUCCGGCGGAUAGAGAUGGGCACGCGUAAGAUUAGCUAGUUGGUGAGGUAACGGCUCACCAAGGCUGCGAUCUUUAGGGGGCCUGAGAGGGUGAUCCCCCACACUGGUACUGAGACACGGACCAGACUCCUACGGGAGGCAGCAGUGAGGAAUAUUGGACAAUGGGUGAGAGCCUGAUCCAGCCAUCCCGCGUGAAGGACUAAGGACCUAUGGGUUGUAAACUUCUUUUAGACAGGGAUAAACCUACUCUCGUGAGGGUAGCUGAAGGUACUGUAUGAAUAAGCACCGGCUAACUCCGUG